rnacentral:rRNA from 1 species
UACAUGUGGGGCAAGCGUUGUUCGGAAUCACUGGGCUUAAAGCGCGUGUAGGCGGGAGGGCACGUCCGUCGCUGAAAUCCCCCGGCUCAACCGGGGAACGGGCGCGGAUACGACCUUCCUGGAGGGGCGUAGGGGGACCUGGAACUUCCGGUGGAGCGGUGAAAUGCGUUGAGAUCGGAAGGAACGCCCGUGGCGAAAGCGAGGUCCUGGACGCCUACUGACGCUGAGACGGCGAAAGCAUGGGGAGCGAACAGG